AUUGAACGCUGGCGGCAUGCCUUACACAUGCAAGUCGAACGGCAGCACGGGUGCUUGCACCUGGUGGCGAGUGGCGAACGGGUGAGUAAUAUAUCGGAACGUACCUUAUUGUGGGGGAUAACGCAGCGAAAGCUGUGCUAAUACCGCAUAAUCCCUAAGGGGGAAAGCGGGGGACCGUAAGGCCUCGCGCAAUUAGAGCGGCCGAUACCUGAUUAGCUAGUUGGUGAGGUAAAGGCUCACCAAGGCAACGAUCAGUAGCUGGUCUGAGAGGACGAUCAGGCACACUGGGGAUGAGACACGGCCCAGACUCCUACGGGAGGCAGCAGGGGGGAAUUUUGGACAAUGGGGGCAACCCUGAUCCAGCAAUGCCGCGUGAGGGAAGAAGGGCGUCGGGUUGUAAAGCUCUUUUGUCAGGGAAGAAACAGCAGCUCUAACACAGUUUGCGAAUGACGGUACCUGAAGAAUAAGCACCGGCUAACUACGUGCCAGCAGCCGCCGUAA
rnacentral:rRNA from 1 species